UUUCCGUAGGUGAACCUGCGGAAGGAUCAUUCAUAAUAAAGUGUUUUAUGGCACUUUUUAAAAAUCCAUAUCCACCUUGUGUGCAAUGUUAGAUCUCGUCAAUCUUGGCGAGAUUUUUAUACAUCAACUCAUUCUUUAACUAAUUUGUCUGAAAAAUAUUAUGAAUACUUAAUUCAAAAUACAACUUUCAACAACGGAUCUCUUGGCUCUCGCAUCGAUGAAAACGCAGC
rnacentral:misc_RNA from 1 species